UACAGAGGGUGCGAGCGUUAAUCGGAAUCACUGGGCGUAAAGCGCACGUAGGUGGACUAAUAAGUCUGAUGUGAAAGACCUGGGCUCAACCUGGGAAUUGCAUUGGAAACUGUUAAUCUAGAGUAUGAGAGAGGGAAGCGGAAUUUCCGGUGUAGCGGUGAAAUGCGUAGAUAUCGGAAGGAACACCAGUUGCGAAGGCGCUUUCUGGCUCAAUACUGACACUGAGGAGCGAAAGCGUGGGUAGCGAACA
rnacentral:rRNA from 1 species